UUCACAGAAAGCUCAGCACUAAAAACCAGU
rnacentral:piRNA from 1 species